rnacentral:rRNA from 2 species
GUCGAGCGGCGGACGGGUGAGUAAUGCCUGGGAAUAUGCCUUGAUGUGGGGGAUAACCAUUGGAAACGAUGGCUAAUACCGCAUAAUGCCUUCGGGCCAAAGAGGGGGAUCUUCGGACCUCUCGCGUCAAGAUUAGCCCAGGUGGGAUUAGCUAGUUGGUGAGGUAAUGGCUCACCAAGGCGACGAUCCCUAGCUGGUCUGAGAGGAUGAUCAGCCACACUGGAACUGAGACACGGUCCAGACUCCUACGGGAGGCAGCAGUGGGGAAUAUUGCACAAUGGGCGCAAGCCUGAUGCAGCCAUGCCGCGUGUGUGAAGAAGGCCUUCGGGUUGUAAAGCACUUUCAGUCGUGAGGAAGGUGGUGUAGUUAAUAGCUGCAUCAUUUGACGUUAGCGACAGAAGAAGCACCGGCUAACUCCGUGCCAGCAGCCGCGGUAAUACGGAGGGUGCGAGCGUUAAUCGGAAUUACUGGGCGUAAAGCGCAUGCAGGUGGUUAGUUAAGUCAGAUGUGAAAGCCCGGGGCUCAAACCUCGCGAACUGCAUUUGAAACUGGCUGACUAGAGUACUGUAGAGAGGGGUAGAAAUUUCACGGGUAGCGGUAAGAUGAGUAGAGAUCUGAAAGAAUAACGGUGGGCGAAGGCGGGCCCCCGGACAAGAUACUGACACUCACAUGCGAAAGCGUGGGGAGCAAACACGAUUAGAUACACUGGUAGUCCACGCCGUAAACCGAUGUCUACUUGGAGAUGUGGCCCUUGAGACCCCGCCUUCCGGAGCUAACACCGUUAAGUAAACCGCCUGCGGCAGUACGGUCCGCAAGAUUAAAACUCAACAUGAAUUGUACCGCGGGCCCGCACAAGCGGUGGAGCAUGUGGUUUAAUUCGAUGCAACGCGAAGAACCUUACCUACUCUUGACAUCCAGAGAACUUAGCAGAGAUGCUUUGGUGCCUUCGGGAACUCUGAGACAGGUGCUGCAUGGCUGUCGUCAGCUCGUGUUGUGAAAUGUUGGGUUAAGUCCCGCAACGAGCGCAACCCUUAUCCUUGUUUGCCAGCGAGUAAUGUCGGGAACUCCAGGGAGACUGCCGGUGAUAAACCGGAGGAAGGUGGGGACGACGUCAAGUCAUCAUGGCCCUUACGAGUAGGGCUACACACGUGCUACAAUGGCGCAUACAGAGGGCAGCCAACUUGCGAAAGUGAGCGAAUCCCAAAAAGUGCGUCGUAGUCCGGAUUGGAGUCUGCAACUCGACUCCAUGAAGUCGGAAUCGCUAGUAAUCGUGGAUCAGAAUGCCACGGUGAAUACGUUCCCGGGCCUUGUACACACCGCCCGUCACACCAUGGGAGUGGGCUGCAAAAGAAGUGGGUAGUUUAACCUUCGGGAGGACGCU